GAUGAACGCUAGCUACAGGCUUAACACAUGCAAGUCGAGGGGCAGCGGUAUCGAAAGCUUGCUUUCGGUAGCCGGCGACCGGCGCACGGGUGAGUAACGCGUAUCGAACCUGCCUCAUACUCGGGAAUAGCCUUGCGAAAGUAAGAUUAAUGCCCGGUGUUUUCAGAGUCCCGCAUGAGGCUUUGAACAAAGAUUUAUCGGUAUGAGAUGGCGAUGCGUCCCAUUAGCUUGUUGGCGGGGUAACGGCCCACCAAGGCAUCGAUGGUAGGGGUUCUGAGAGGAAGGUCCCCCCCAUUGGAACUGAGACACGGUCCAAACUCCUACGGGAGGCAGCAGUGAGGAAUAUUGGUCAAUGGGCGGAAGCCUGAACCAGCCAAGUAGCGUGCAGGAAGACGGCCCUCCGGGUUGUAAACUGCUUUUAGUUGGGAAUAAAACGGGGCUCGUGAGCCCCCUUGCAUGUACCAUCAGAAAAAGGACCGGCUAAUUCCGUGCCAGCCGCCGCAGUAA
rnacentral:rRNA from 1 species